GUUGAUAUAAUCAGAUGCAGUCUCAACGAAGGUGGGGCCAGUCCCACCUGGGCCCCAGAAAGAGAAAUGUGGAUGGCCGUGGCCCCUAAUGCCACCUUACGGAGGUACACCAGACAUUCGCACAUCAUUUGAAGGAGGAAUGCUUAGUGGAUCUAGGGGCUGGCACCAGCAGAACAUCAAUAGGACAAUCCAGCCCCAACACGAAGGAGAUUCAGAGGGAGCCUGGCAGAAUACGAAAACCCAGAGACGUCGUCUUUUCAGCUCCCAAAACAUCUUUUCUUUAGCUCCUACUGUAUAAUUUAGUUUUUAAAACUUCACCCAGUUCCCACCGAGCACGAGCUAGGCACUACUCCCCGGAGUUUUACAUUCUUCGACUCAUGCAGUCCCCCAGCAAGCCUCCGAGGCUCUUCCCGUCAUCCUGGCGCACGAGGUAAACCGGGGCUGAGAGCAUCACGUUUCCCCACCCAGGAGCUUGCUGAGUCACCCACCUGCUGCGGAGAAGGCGCCUAUUUUUAGCCUGAGGUAAAUGAGCUCUGCAGUCACCCAGACCACGUUCCCUUGGGUUCCUUUGUCACAGCUGGUGUGACCGGAUGGGGACCACGUCAGCGUGGACCUCCCCCUAACCAAGGUACU